rnacentral:lncRNA from 1 species
CGGAUCUGUUUCCAAGUGGACCCGGUUCAACGUGAAGCCGGCAACACUUGCCGACUUCACCGUAAUUUUUUGGAGUUGGAUCGAAACAAGAGAACCUUUUUCCUUAUUUGAUCCUGUUCCGCGGGAGAAGAGGCUGCACGAGUGACUGGAUGAGAGAUAUGCGCCCUUCUCCUUCUACUUCUUCUUAAAUCCCACCACCGAAACUUCUCCCUCAACCUUCUUCCCCCCUC